rnacentral:rRNA from 1 species
UACGUAGGGGGCGAGCGUUGUCCGGAGUUACUGGGCGUAAAGGGCAUGCAGGCGGUCGGACGCGUUUUGUGUGACAGCGGGUGGCUCAACUGCCCGAGCAUGCGAAAGACGGUCGGACUUGAGGACUCGAGAGGGACACGGAAUUCCGGGUGGAGUGGUGAAAUGCGUAGAGAUCCGGAGGAACACCGAAGGCGAAGGCAGUGUCCUGGCGAGUGACUGACGCUGAGGUGCGAAAGCCAGGGGAGCGAACGGG